GUUCUCUGAAGGGAGGUGUCCUGUUUCCUGCCCAUCACCAGGAUUAGACAUUUCUGAGUGAACUAUGAAAUUAAAUCCUUGCUGUAAGUCCAGUCAUUAAACUGGACUGUGACUCAGUGCAUGAACUAGGUGAAAGAAGCAUGAAGCUCUGCUGUAACACAAAAGAAAAUCCUUCUGUAGACAGAGAUUAGAAAAGAAAGACACUGCAGGAGUAAACGAUGCACCAGAGGCAGCCCAGUCCAUGGCCAUAAGUAACAUCUAUUCCUUCCUGUGUCCAGAGGGAUGCUCCACUGGGAAGUCAAGAUGGGAUCAAGCUCAGCGCACAAAAUCACAAGAGACCAAGACCUACCCUUGCGUGAGCCAUGGGACCUGCCUUCACUGUGCCAGCCCCGCCAGCCCCACGCAAGCCCCACCAGCCCUGCCAAGCCACGAGUCCCGGCCCACGAGAGGUGCUCCAUGCACCUUCUGGUGACCAAUGGUUUGGUUGUUCCACCGUUACGGUGUCAUGACCACAGACCUUUUAUGAUAUAGAUUUUUUCUCUCUACAGUAAGCCUGGUUUUAUGAUGCCAAUACCUGCCCAGGAAGAGAGAGACCAAUUACCCCACCUGAGUUUUUUAUUGUGCAUAUUUGUAUUCACAAGCUCCGUUAAAAUUUAUCUUGACUCCCUUA